UGCGUAGGCGGUUUGGUAAGUCAGAUGUGAAAUCCCGGGGCUCAACCCCGGAACUGCAUCCGAUACUGCCGGACUUGAGGACUGGAGAGGUGACUGGAAUUCUCGGUGUAGCAGUGAAAUGCGUGGAUAUCGAGAGGAACACUCGUGGCGUAAGCGAGUCACUGGACAGUAUCUGACGCUGAGGCACGAAGGCCAGGGUAGCGAAAG
rnacentral:rRNA from 1 species